CGGAACGGGUGAGUAACGCGUGAGGAACCUGCCUCAAAGAGGGGGGAAACAGUUGGAAACGACUGCUAAUACCGCAUAAGCCCACAGGUCGGCAUCGACCAGAGGGAAAAGGAGCAAUCCGCUUUGAGAUGGCCUCGCGUCCGAUUAGCUAGUUGGUGAGGUAAUAGCCCACCAAGGCGACGAUCGGUAGCCGGACUGAGAGGUUGAACGGCCACAUUGGGACUGAGACACGGCCCAG
rnacentral:rRNA from 1 species